rnacentral:lncRNA from 1 species
CAGGCUAGAUAAGAUUAAGAAUGAAACUAUUCGAGAGAAGGUGGGGGUGGCCCCGGUGGACGAGAAGAUACGUGAAGCGCGACUGAGGUUGUUCGGGCAUGUGCGGAGAAGAAGUCCAGAUGCUCCGGUGAGGAGAUGAGAGCGGCUGGAGAUCGUUGGCGGUCGGCGCGGCAGAGGGAGACCCAAGAAGUAUUGGGGAGAGGUGAUUAGGCAGGACAUGGCUAGGAUGCAGGUUUCCGAGGACAUGACCCUUGAUAGGAAAGUAUGGAGGUCUAGAAUNNN